GAUGAAGAACGUAGCGAAAUGCGAUACGUAAUGUGAAUUGCAGAAUUCGGUGAAUCAUCGAAUCUUUGAACGCAUAUUGCGCUCUCUGGUAUUCCGGAGAGCAUGCUUGUUUGAGUAUCAGUAAACACCUCAACUUCCAUAUCUUUUUUGAAAUGGGAGUUGGACUUGAGUGAUCCCAACGCUUUUCCUCACCGAAAAGUGGCGGGUUACUUGAAAUGCAGGUGCAGCUGGACUUUUCUCUGAGCUAUAAGCAUAUCUAUUUAGUCUGCCUAAAAAACAGAUUAUUACCUUUGCUGCAGCUAACAUAAAGGAGAUUAGUUCUUGUGCUGACUGAUGCAGGAUUCACAAAGACAGGCUUCGGCCGACUUUGUAAACUCGAUCUCAAAUCAAGUAAGACUACCCGCUGAACUUAAGCAUAUCAAUAAGCGGAGGA
rnacentral:misc_RNA from 1 species